AGGCUUAACACAUGCAAGUCGAGGGGCAGCAUUUUAGUUUGCUUGCAAACUAAAGAUGGCGACCGGCGCACGGGUGAGUAACACGUAUCCAACCUGCCGAUAACUCGGGGAUAGCCUUUCGAAAGAAAGAUUAAUAUCCGAUAGUAUAUUAAAACCGCAUGGUUUUACUAUUAAAGAAUUUCGGUUAUCGAUGGGGAUGCGUUCCAUUAGUUUGUUGGCGGGGUAACGGCCCACCAAGACUACGAUGGAUAGGGGUUCUGAGAGGAAGGUCCCCCACAUUGGAACUGAGACACGGUCCAAACUCCUACGGGAGGCAGCAGUGAGGAAUAUUGGUCAAUGGACGAGAGUCUGAACCAGCCAAGUAGCGUGAAGGAUGACUGCCCUAUGGGUUGUAAACUUCUUUUAUAUGGGAAUAAAGUAUACCACGUGUGGAAUUUUGUAUGUACCAUAUGAAUAAGGAUCGGCUAACUCCGUGCCAGCAGCCGCGGUAAUACGGAGGAUCCGAGCGUUAUCCGGAUUUAUUGGGUUUAAAGGGAGCGUAGGUGGAUUGUUAAGUCAGUUAUGAAAGUUUGCGGCUCAACCGUAAAAUUGCAGUUGAAACUGGCAGUCUUGAGUACAGUAGAGGUGGGCGGAAUUCGUGGUGUAGCGGUGAAAUGCUUAGAUAUCACGAAGAACUCCGAUUGCGAAGGCAGCUCACUAGACUGCAACUGACACUGAUGCUCGAAAGUGUGGGUAUCAAAGGGGAAUAGAUCCCCUGGUAGUCCCCCCAGUAACCCCAGAAGAGUCGCUGUUUGCGAUAUACAGUAAGCGGCCAAGGGAAAGCAUUAAGUAUUCCACCUGGGGAGUACGCCGGCAACGGUGAAACUCAAAGGAAUUGACGGGGGCCCGCACAAGCGGAGGAACAUGUGGUUUAAUUCGAUGAUACGCGAGGAACCUUACCCGGGCUUAAAUUGCAUUUGAAUAAUCUGGAAACAGGUUAGCCGCAAGGCAAAUGUGAAGGUGCUGCAUGGUUGUCGUCAGCUCGUGCCGUGAGGUGUCGGCUUAAGUGCCAUAACGAGCGCAACCCUUAUCUUUAGUUACUAACAGGUCAUGCUGAGGACUCUAGAGAGACUGCCGUCGUAAGAUGUGAGGAAGGUGGGGAUGACGUCAAAUCAGCACGGCCCUUACGUCCGGGGCUACACACGUGUUACAAUGGGGGGUACAGAAGGCAGCUACCUGGUGACAGGAUGCUAAUCCCAAAAACCUCUCUCAGUUCGGAUCGAAGUCUGCAACCCGACUUCGUGAAGCUGGAUUCGCUAGUAAUCGCGCAUCAGCCAUGGCGCGGUGAAUNC
rnacentral:rRNA from 1 species